GCAUAAUCACUAGUUUUUUAAUUGAAGACUUGAAUGAAGGGUCGGACGAGAAGCUAGCUGUCUUUAUUGAAAGGAUUGAAUUUAACUUUUAAGUGAAAGGGCUUAAAUGUUUUGAGGGGACGAUAAGACCCUAUAAAAUUUAACGAUUGUGAAUUAAUGAGGGGGGUAGUAUAAGGUUAAAAGUAUUAUUAAAGGAUGUAUUGUUUUGUUGGGGCGACAGGAAUAAAAAGUAAACUAACUGUUCUUUAAUUGGAUUCAGUGAUGAUUGAAGUUUAUGAUCCUUAUUAGGGAUUGAGAGAGCAAAUUACUUUAGGGAUAACAGCGUAAUUUUUUUUGAGAGUUCUUAUCGAUAGAGAAGUUUGCGACCUCGAUGUUGAAUUAA
rnacentral:rRNA from 1 species